ensembl:snRNA RNU6-1310P RNA, U6 small nuclear 1310, pseudogene
GUGCUUGCUUCGGCAGCACAUCUACUAAAACUGCAAUGAUACAGAGAAGAUUAACAUGGUCCCUGUACAAGGAUGACAUGCAAAUUCAUGAAGUGUUUCAUAUUAAA